UACGUAGGGUGCAAGCGUUAAUCGGAAUUACUGGGCGUAAAGCGUGCGCAGGCGGUUGUGCAAGACAGGUGUGAAAUCCCCGGGCUUAACCUGGGAACUGCACUUGUGACUGCACGGCUUGAGUGCGGCAGAGGGGGAUGGAAUUCCGCGUGUAGCAGUGAAAUGCGUAGAUAUGCGGAGGAAUACCGAUGGCGAAGGCAGCCCCCUGGGAUAACACUGACGCUCAUGCACGAAAGCGUGGGGAGCAAACAGG
rnacentral:rRNA from 1 species